GAUGAACGCUGGCGGCGUGCCUAAUACAUGCAAGUCGAGCGAAUGGAUUAAGAGCUUGCUCUUAUGAAGUUAGCGGCGGACGGGUGAGUAACACGUGAGUAACCUGCCCAUAAGACUGGGAUAACUCCGGGAAACCGGGGCUAAUACCGGAUAACAUUUUGAACCGCAUGGUUCGAAAUUGAAAGGCGGCUUCGGCUGUCACUUCUGGAUGGACCCGCGUCGCAUUAGCGAGUUGGUGAGGUAACGGCUCACCAAGGCAACGAUGCGUAGCCGACCUGAGAGGGUGAUCGGCGACACUGGGACUGAGACACGGCCCAGACUCCUACGGGAGGCAGCAGUAGGGAAUCUUCCGCAAUGGACGAAAGUCUGACGGAGCAACGCCGCGUGAGUGAUGAAGGCUUUCGGGUCGUAAAACUCUGUUGUUAGGGAAGAACAAGUGCUAGUUGAAUAAGCUGGCACCUUGACGGUACCUAACCAGAAAGCCACGGCUAACUACGUGCCAGCCGCCGCAGUAA
rnacentral:rRNA from 1 species